rnacentral:SRP_RNA from 1 species
GCCGGGCGUGGUGGCAUGUGCCUGUAGUCCCAGCUACUCAGGAGGCUGAGGUGGGAGGAUCGCUUGAGCCCAGGAGUUCUGGGCUGUAGUGCACUAUGCCGAUCGGGUAUCCCCACUAAGUUUGGCAUCAAUAUGGUGAACUCCCAGGAACAGGGAACCACCAGGUUGCCUAAGGAGGGGUGAACGGGCCCACGUCGGAAAUGAGCAGGUCAAAACUCCCAUGCUGGUAAGUAGUGGGAUCGUGCCUGUGAAUAGCCACUGCACCCCAGCCUGGGCAACACAGCGAGACCCCAUCUCU